UACGAAGGGGGCUAGCGUUGCUCGGAAUGACUGGGCGUAAAGGGCGCGUAGGCGGCUUGCACCGUCAGAUGUGAAAUUCCUGGGCUUAACCUGGGGGCUGCAUUUGAUACGUGUGGGCUUGAGUGCGGAAGAGGGUCGUGGAAUUCCCAGUGUAGAGGUGAAAUUCGUAGAUAUUGGGAAGAACACCGGUGGCGAAGGCGGCGACCUGGUCCGUGACUGACGCUGAGCGCGAAGGCGUGGGGAGCGAACAGG
rnacentral:rRNA from 1 species